GACAGUGAAGCGAAGGCGUCGGCCCCAGGGGGGGUGACGGCCCCAAAUGUAGAGGUGUUUGUGAGAGCGAGUAGCCCAGCACCACAGAUGGGUGCUCAGGCAGUUGAUUUAAUCGGUGGCGAUAGCAAUACGAGAGUUGUAAGAACGGAGAUGGGAAGAGCA